GACUUCUUGAUGGAAAGUAUAGAUUCCAAAUUAAUAUGAGCAUUAUUCAAAUUAAAAGUGAUAAUUUAUCAUCCAAUGAAUACAUUUUCAUGGGACAUGUUUCUCUCAAGGAGUAUGUCCAAUAUGAAGGGUUGUGGCUCUUCAAAUUGUAUUCAUUGAGUGCAUAUAAAUAGAAGCAUUAUGGUGCUUACAAAAUAUACAAUUACAAUCAAUCUUAUUUUCAGAAGAUAGAGUAAGAAUUAGGGAAUUCCUUGAUUUUGCUAAUCAAAGGAAAUUCAAAACUUCGUUGUAUCCUGGGAGGACCUUUGUCUUAACCCUCUAGCAACUUUGUGUUGGGGCAAAUAAUUCUCUUUGGAAAGCGUCAUUCGUGCCUCGAAGUCUACUAUUUAUUUCCAUACAAGUCUCCGGUUCUAUCGUCUCCACUCAAAUUUCCAACACUUCUCUAUACAUGUCACUAGGUACCAAUUGCAAAUACAAAUGUUUCAUACUCUUCAAUGAUGACAAUGAUAUUUGCUUGUGAUCCUUGAUAUGCAUCGAACCUUGAUUCAGAAGACCCAAGCGCAAAAACAGUGGCGCGUUAAGUAUAAAACUUAGUACGAUAUUACAAAAUACCUUAUAUACUCACCUUUAAAAACUGUGGAUUGGACCACGCACAAUGUUUUACAAAACAUUUAGAAGUAAUGUAAAUGAAAACUACAUAACAAUCCAAAAAGACAAAGAACAGUUUAGUACCAUAAAUAACACGUACAAAUAUUUAACAGUUGAAGUAUCCACUUUUAUCAUGUCAACAUCAAUUUUUUCUCAAAAUAAUAAUUAGUUAACUUCAUCCCUUAAUGUGCCUAGACCAAAUCAGGAUCGCACCAUGGUGCUAGGAACAGGAGCAUCGAAGUGCUAGUAACAGAAAUACCGAACUACAAAAUAGGAUACCCCUAUUAGUAUGUCAAUCAUAUCCUAACUAUUUAACUAAAUUUCUAAAAUCUUGUUACAGUAUUUUUAGAACAACUAAAUUUCUAAAAUCUUGUUACAGUAUUUUCAGAACAACCAUAUUAAUGUUUCAAAUAAGUUUACCAUUUCAAAACAAUAUAUAUCCAAAAUCACAACUACCAUAAGACAAGACAAUAGUUCCAACCAUAACAUUAACCAAAUCAAAAUUCAAGCUUUCAUUAACAUUUUCACCGGAAAACUUAACUUGAAAGUCAUGAAUAAAUUUUUUUUUUUGCCCCUACCCAAAUUGUUACCAUUGUUCGACAUUGUUGAACUUUUCACACAUGUUCGUAACCACACUUUUAUUAACACUUGAACAUUAAUAUAUAACAACACAUUCAAUUAAUAACAAUAAAAUAAUAAAAAUCAAUAUUAAUUUAAGAUAAGCAUGUUAAUGAAUUUCUUAUAUAUCUUACCACACAAAAAUAUUCAAAAAGUGUUGAAGCAGCCUAAAUCCACCUUAAAUCUACUACUAGUUUUUCCUUUCCCUUACUAGCAUUUCCCAUUCCUCCUUCAAUUUAUUUCAUAAACAAUAAAUAUCCCUUAACUCAUAAUCACUAAAUAGCCAUUAAUAUGACUCAAUAACUUAAAAUAAAUAUGAUAUAAGAUAAAAACUAUAAAACCCAAACCUUGGUUACCUUUCUUCUUCCUUCUAAUACACUUUCACUCACUAGGAUUCAAAACCCUAAAUACUUGGACGAUGGGGAUGAUGAAGGUUAUGACUCAAUAAAGGAUUCGCUAAGAUAGUUUGGUAAGAAAAUGAUGGAAGAAUGUUGAGAAAAGAGAAGAAAAGUGUGUAGAAAUGGAGGAGAAAUGAAGAAAAACGGCGUUGGUUUCCUUUAAAUAUGGUCGGCCACACGUUUGUAGAGGAGAGAAGAUGUUUUCUCUUUCUUCUUUAUUCUCGUUUAUGACAUAAAAUAAUGUUAAAUUGGUCAACAAAUCAAAAU
rnacentral:lncRNA from 1 species